ACUCAACGUUAAUUCUUUAAAAAGGGUGAGUUUAAGUUGUAAAAUCGAGCUGUCUUUGAACAGAUUUUUGAUCAGCUUGUUAGCCCUAAACUUGUUUUUAAGGAGUUU
rnacentral:sRNA from 1 species